AAGUACUACCUAAGGCCCAUAUUAACCUAAUAGGUCAACUAACAUCAGUUCUUGCGUAAAAAUAUUUAUUUUACACACAAUUAAAUCUAAACUACGAAAGUUGAAAAUGUGAUAAUUAAAUAUAAAAUGACCAAAAAACAAGCUUCUUAAGUGAAAAAAUGUACUAAAACUACCACCACAUUUGGCAGUAGGUUAACACAUGACCAAUAAUCUGAUUCUCAUAAUUCAUGGUACAUUGUUGCACCACCAAGA
rnacentral:lncRNA from 1 species